rnacentral:rRNA from 1 species
GACGAACGCUGGCGGCGUGCCUAAUACAUGCAAGUCGAGCGAAUCUCAGGGAGCUUGCUCCCUGAGAUUAGCGGCGGACGGGUGAGUAACACGUGGGUAACCUGCCUGUAAGACUGGGAUAACUUCGGGAAACCGGAGCUAAUACCGGAUACUUUCUUUUCUCGCAUGAGGGAAGAUGGAAAGAUGGUUCUGCUAUCACUUACAGAUGGACCCGCGGCGCAUUAGCUAGUUGGUGAGGUAACGGCUCACCAAGGCAACGAUGCGUAGCCGACCUGAGAGGGUGAUCGGCCACACUGGGACUGAGACACGGCCCAGACUCCUACGGGAGGCAGCAGUAGGGAAUCUUCCGCAAUGGACGAAAGUCUGACGGAGCAACGCCGCGUGAGCGAAGAAGGCCUUCGGGUCGUAAAGCUCUGUUGUUAGGGAAGAACAAUUACGAGAGUAACUGCUCGUACCUUGACGGUACCUAACCAGAAAGCCACGGCUAACUACGUGCCAGCAGCCGCAGUAACAC